GGACACUUGAUUAAAGACUGCAACAUUUGUCACCCCAUUGAUUGCCAGGGUUGAUUCAGCUGAUCUGGCUGGCUAGGCGGGGUCCCCUUCCUCCCUCACCGCUCCAUGUGCAUCCCUUCUGAAGCUGUGCACUUGGUUGAAGAGGACAACUUUCCCAGAGAGAGGAGUACCGAUCUUCGGCCAAGGGUAUACGAUAGCUUCACUCCCCUGCUAGAACCUCCUUUCACUUCUGUUCAUGAAAACCAAAAAAUGAAUAUAGUUAGCACAAUGUGACCACUCUACGAUCCCAUAGCAAAGGGAUGGAAACUCG
ensembl:misc_RNA 7SK 7SK RNA